rnacentral:rRNA from 1 species
ACAGGUGCUGCAUGGCUGUCGUCAGCUCGUGCGUGAGAUGUUGGGUUAAGUCCGUACGAGCGCAACCCUUGUCCUUAGUUACCAGCACGGUUAUGGUGGGCACUCUAAGGAGACUGCCGGCGACAAACCGGAGGAAGUGGGGAUGACGUCAAGUCAUCAUGGCCCUUACGGCCUGGGCUACACACGUGCUACAAUGGUCGGUACAAAGGGUUGCCAAGCCGCGAGGUGGAGCUAAUCCCAUAAAACCGAUCGUAGUCCGGAUCGCAGUCUGCAACUCGACUGCGUGAAGUCGGAAUCGCUAGUAAUCGUGAAUCAGAAUGUCACGGUGAAUACGUUCCCGGGCCUU